UCUCGAAUGGUCCAGUGGUCAAGAUUCCCGCCUGUCACGCGGGCGACCGGGGUUCGAUUCCCCGUUCGAGAG
rfam:Drechslerella stenobrocha 248 unplaced genomic scaffold DRE_Scf_4, whole genome shotgun sequence.